rnacentral:rRNA from 1 species
UAGUCUCGCACAGAUGCAUAUCAAUAAGCGGAGGAAAAGAAACUAACAAGGAUUCCCCUAGUAACGGCGAGUGAAGCGGGAAGAGCUCAAAUUUGAAAUCUUAAAGGGUUUCCCUUUACGAAUUGUAGUUUAAAGAAGUGUUUUCUGUUGAGGUUUUGGUAAAAGUUCUUUGGAAUAGGACAUCAUAGAGGGUGAGAAUCCCGUAUUUGACCUUUACUUUCAACUUUGUGAUACACUUUCAAAGAGUCGGAUUGUUUGGGAAUGCAGUCCAAAAUGGGUGGUAAAUUUCAUCUAAAGCUAAAUAUUGGCGAGAGACCGAUAGCGAACAAGUACCGUGAGGGAAAGAUGAAAAGAACUUUGAAAAGAGAGUUAAACAGUACGUGAAAUUGUCAAAAGGGAAGCGUUUGACACCAGUGUUGUUUUUCUGAAAAUCAAUUAAAGAACUGUUUAUGCUAAGUUGUUUAGACUUUAUCAGCUAUCUGUUUAGUUUUGAGCUUUUCUUUAAUGCACUUUUCAGUUAACAAGUCAACAUCAAUUUCUUUUGCUGUAAAAAAGCUUGAGGAAGGUGGCUUGAGAUUCGUCUUAAGUGUUUAUAGCCUCUUGCCUAUGCAGUCGGAGAGAUUGAGGUCUGCAGCGUAGAUCCUUCGGGGCUAAAUGCAUUUGUGCUAAGUUAUAGCAUUUUAUAGACAACUUGUUGACUAUGAUUUGUCUUGUAGCUUACUCGCUUAUGUUAUUUUACCUACGCUUAGGAUGUUGACGCGCGUGUGUGCGUG